CCUACGGGUGGCAGCAGUGAGGAAUAUUGGUCAAUGGGCGAGAGACUGAACCAGCCAAGUCGCGUGAGGGAUGACGGUCCUAAGUGUCGUAAACCUCUUUUGUCAGGGAACAAAGGCGUGCACGUGUCGCCUUAUGAAUGUAACUUAAGAAAAAGCAUCGGCUAACUCCGUGCCAGCAGCCGCGGUAAUACGGAGGAUGCGAGCGCUAUCCGGAUUUAUUGGGUUUAAAGGGUGCGUAGGCGGUAUGUUAAGUCAGCGGUAAAAGCUCGGGGCUCAACCCCGGCUCGCCGUUGAAACUGGCAGUCUUGAGUGGGAGAGAAGUAUGCGGAAUGCGCGGUGUAGCGGUGAAAUGCAUAGAUAUCGCGCAGAACUCCGAUUGCGAAGGCAGCAUGCCGGCGCCACACUGACGCUGAGGCACGAAAGCGUGGGUAUCGAACAGGAUUAGAUACCCGUGUAGUC
rnacentral:rRNA from 1 species